CAUAAUUUGUUUUUUUUAAAAACCACGAGGGGGUAACCCUGCUAUAGGGGAAGAUCUACGAUAUAGCCAUUUUCUCGGACGUUGCAGCGUUGGAUGUUAGGGUGCGAGCUCGCUCAGCAACAGAGGCCCAGGAUCGGUGGUGGCUGGUCAUGUGAUCUUAGCCAAACAAGACCACGCCCAGAUCCCCCAAUCUGCACCUCCUGGGAGAGCUUUUCCUCGGCUGUGGACUCUUGCAGGCCUUUGUGACACUAGUUGUUUCUGUUUUAGGUGAUUGCCAGGGAUCAAACGCGGGAUGUCCCAGUUGCUGAAACUAACAACUAGGCUAUCACAACCGGUCAUUAUAUCGACGUGGAAAAAACGUUGCAAAGGGCCAACUUAAAAAUGGAUACUUUAAAGUUGAAUUUGCAUUAUAACAAAUGAGGAAUUAACAUUAUAAUAAACGUUUAAAUGAA